CUGGCUCCCGUGUCGUCACCACGCACGCGGCGUAGAGCGUGCGCGAGGAGGGACGGAUGUCUACGCCCCACAACCCUGGAGAAAUUAUACUGUUUAGCAGGCAUUGCACCACCUGAUAUCUGCCGGGAAGUAGCAGCCAGCAAUGAAAGGACCAAGGCAUUGACAUCUACGGCCCAUCCCCUGUCCGGGUAUCAGCCAGCACACCAAUGCCUUAAAUCAAGAAAGUUUUCUAAGAUCUACAGAGAUACUUACAGGAACACCUCAGCGAGUGAAAGUCCAAAAGUGGCAGGCUAAAACCCAGAACCUCAAGGCCAUGGCUGAUGCCAAAUGAGAGUCUCCCUCCUGGGCACACAGAAGACUGGGCGACUUGGAAGGCUCUGAACAGACUGCACUCUGGCACCAUGAGAUGCAGAGCCACCUUAAGAAAUUGGGCUACAAAGUGGAGUCCGCGAUAUGCGAAUGUGGAGAAGAGCAAACCACAGACCACCUAUUACAAUGCAAACUGAGCCCUGUGACAUACACAAUGGAGAACCUUCUUACAGCAACACCAGAGGCACUCCAAGUGGACAUUUAGUAUAAUGCCAAGUUCUUGCAUUUUUUAACUUUGUGUUUUCAAAUACAGUAGAGUCUGACAGUGUUUUCAAUACAUCAUGAUAUUUUGGUGCUAAAUUCGUAAAUACAGUAAUUACUACAUAGCAUUACUGUGUACUGAACUACUUUUUCUGUCAAAUUUGUUGUAUAACAUGAUGUUUUGGUGCUUAAUUUGUAAAAUCAUAACCUAAUUUAAUGUUUAAUAGGCUUUUCCUUAAUCUCUCCUUAUUAUCCAACAUAUUCGCUUAUCCAAGGUUCUGCCGGCCCGUUUGUGUUGGAUAAGCGAGACUCUACUGUACUGUACAUUACAACUUGUACCCUUGGUUCGCUUCUGACACGAUAAAAUAAACUGUGUAGAUGCACCCAAUAACUCGGAAUUGACUGCAUUAGACCUGUUCGUGAAGGGGCAAGGAUGUAAAAGAUAUAAAAAUACUUCUCUUAAUCCAAAGUCAAAAGCAGGAGGCCCCUUUUCUGUGAAGAGGGCGAGGAAAAACACCACAAAAGUUGGAUCUUUUGCCAAACUGCAAAAGAACUAUUUAUUGCGUGGCCAUAGCAAUGAGACAAAAACAUGCAUACAUGCAAUCAAAGGAUUUGUCUGCAUUUCCAAAAUGGUUGCAAGGUUUUUAUCACCUCCACAGAAAUUAGCAAGCAUAUCCUUAUUGGCUUACAAAGAUCAUUUACCCCAUUUGUCUAAUGUUGUCUACGUCACAAGCAUCUUAACCAUCAUGCAGUCCCAUUGGUUUUCUAUGCUGUAACAACAUGUAAUUCUUUAGACAAUGGUGCUUUCAUGUUAUUGACCCUGACUUGUUGCAAGUAUAUGCUCGAAAUCGUAUGGGAACCGGUUCUGACUUGAUGUAUUGUUAUUAUUUGAAAGUAACUUAUUUUCUCUGGAACAACUCUUUUCCCAAACAUCAGCAUUUUCUCUCAAGCGUGGGCCUUCCUCAAACAUAGGCCUUUUGCAACUUAGGUCAAUCAAAACAUAUGGGACUUAUAGCCAUUACAAGUAUCUUUGAAAAUUCUUUUUAAAUCCACGUCUCCCUCAUUAGGAUCACAACUUAAUGGGAUAGCAAAAUGUGACAGAAUGAAAAAUCAAAAUGCAUAGUCCUCGCACUGCCUUGCCAGAGAAAGAAGAUAUGUGCCACGCAGGUGAACAAUAAAGAACAAGUGGUUUAUUCUUAAACCCAGAACAACAUAUGUACAAUGUGCUCAGUUGCACCAACUCACAUAAUGACCUUUUAUGAGAGAUUUAAAAUAAGUCUGUCCUUUUUCAAUGUGGAUAAUGCCUUCCAACAUCUCAUGAAGCAAGAGCAGACUUCAAACUCUCUCUCUCUGCUUCUUUCUUCCAACUGUCUCUGCCCCUGCUUAGCCCAUGCCUGAACAAAAUUGCUACAGUAUCAAAAAACCCCAGGCUUAACAGCUCUCCAGACAUGCCUUAACCCAGACAUGGGCAAACUUCGGUUUGGGAAUAAAAUAUAACAUGGGUUCAUGUUGAAUUCACUGGUAGCUCUGUUUUUUUUAAAAUCAGAUUUAAGUUUUCUAUUAACACCUCUUAUCAUUGUGUAUUUUGAAAAUAAAUGUACAUUGACUAGAUUAUCUCUAUCUGAAAUUGAGUAGGGUCACUCUCCUUCCAUUCAUGCAUCUGGGUUUGUCAGGUAUUUGUUAUCCCAUGCGUGUGUGUGUGUGUGUGUGUGUGUGUGUAUAUAUAUAUAUAUAUAUAUAUAUAUAUACACACACACAUAUACAUACCUGUGCAUGUGUGUAAAUUCCUGAUUCUGUAGGUUUGUUCUUAAGUUGAAUUUUUACGUAAGUUAGAACAUAUACAUUUUUAGUGUAACUCCAGCCAAAAACUUAUUUUUAAAAUUUGGGAUAGCAUAGGGAAGGGUAAAUACCCAUAUGGUGUUUGUUUUGCUGUCUAUGUUCCUGUUUUGAAGGUUUGACCUCGCUUUCUGUCUCUGAUACUUGGAUUUUGAAAAACAUGGCUUGUUGUGGAAACUGAGAUUGGUGAUAAAUCUUCAGUGGAGACUUUUUCCUCACGAUAACUCUUUCAGAGGUGAAUUUUCCUUCCUAGGAUUAAUUUCUCUCACUUCCUGUUGUCUCACUCCUGUUCUUAACUAUGAGUGUUAAUUAUUUUAUUUAUUUAUUUACUAUAUUUAUACCCUGCUCUUCUCACCCCGAAGGGGACUCAGAGCGGCUUACAGGUUAUGACAAAAUGUAAUGCCAUGUUGUACAUAGACACACAAAUAUAACAUUUUGAAUUGUAAAACAGAUUGCAACAUAUAGAUGCAAUAAAACAAAUCAUCCUGUCUCCCUGAUAAUCUGACAGGGAAAAUGCUUCACCCUGGGCUGUGUGUAUUUUAAAGAUAGUAGUUCUGGUGAGAAUAGGGGAGGGUAGACCUGAGCCAAAGUCAGAGCCAGUCCGUGUUAGACUUCAUAUUAAUUCACAUAAUCCAUCAGGUCAUAUCAACUCAUAUCCUAGAAUUUUUGUAACUCUGGAGCAAACAACAAUUUAUUUUCAGGAUAUUUGAAGUAAGAUACUUUAAUAUAGUGGAUGGAAUGUAAAUAUUCAUAUUUGAGAAAAGGGUUCAUAUAUAGACAAUCUUUCACUCAAUAUAUCUCGUACACGUCAUUGAUUCAGUUCAGAGGUUACAAAAGGGGUUGUUUAGUACCAAUUAAGCCAACAGUCCUAUAGCCACUUGAAAGUAAACCCUAUAUCUAAGUAGACAUUGUGCUAAGUCAGGAUAAGUGAAUAUACAAAACACUCCAAGCCCCAAAGUCAUAGGCAACAUAGUUAAUGAUGAGGCAUUGAAUUCUUGUGAGUUGAAUUCCAGCAAUUCUUAGAGGACUAUGCUUUACUCACCCUAUGCUAAAUUAUUGUUUCAGAAACAUGCAGUCUUUACAAUUUCUUAUAAUGAAAGCCCUUUAAAAUCUUUUUAAUCUGAUCUGGUCCUGAAUUGCUUUUGGUGAUAGUGUAAUUUCUUUAAAUUUAAGGUUGCAUUUAAGGUGACUGAUUGGAAUUGUAUAAUAAGUUCCUGAAAUACAGGAAAACACUUAUGAAUACACCUGUAUAUCAUUGUAUUUACGUGUCUCCUGUUGUUCAAAGCUUUUUGCCCAUGGCUUUGCAUUUCUUGUGAAACCUGUAAACUUUUAUCACUGACCACAGUGCUCCGUAAGUUUAUUUCCCCUCCAGUCAGAUAUAGUACCUUCUCCAUAAUCCUCUAUAUCAGUGGUUCCCAACCUUUGGCCCUCCAGGUGUUUUGGAGUUCAUCUCCCAGAAAUCUCACCCAACUUAUCAUCUGUUAGGACACCUGAAGGACCAAAGGAACCACUGCUCUAUAUCCUUAACAGAGUUUUCUUAUUCUUACCAUUAUUGUACACCUGAAAAUACUUACUUGCAACACAAUUACCAUUCAAUUCCAAGCUUAGUAGGUGAAUAAUCAUAGGUGGGAAUGAUCAGUUCAGAAGAGUGCACCCAGAAACCACAAGUUACAGGGUGAUUUACCCACAUUUUAUUUAAUUGACUUACACUUUGACAAGAUAACAAAAGGAAUUAAAACAAUGAACGAACUAUUGGACAGAUCGGAAUGAAUGUUUGCUUGUUUACAAUCAAUUCUGCUUGGUAUGUAUUGAUUCAUCUCUGUCUAGCUUUGUGUGAUGUUCAGUAUAGACUCCUUUCACCAGCUAAAUAGAAAUGAGACUGUCAUUAAUUCUGGAGAGUACUAACUGAAUAGGUACUAAGAUUGGCAGUGAAAUAAGGAACUCUUCCUGCAUCUUUAUGGGCAGUAAAAAAGGCAACACCUGUUGAAAUUCCCUACGUCCUGGGAUCAGUCUUGAUGGCAGUGUUACCCUGUUUUCCUGAAAAUACGGCAGUGUCUUAUAUUAAUUUUUGCUCUCAAAGAUGCGCUAGGUCUUAUUUUCAGGG